rnacentral:lncRNA from 1 species
UAUCCUACCUUUUUGAACUAUGUCGUUUUAGAUUUUACCCUUCCUAAACCCCCCAAAAUCAAAUCCCUAAAUAUUCCUCUCUCUUUUUUUUUCUCCGUUUUUCCUUUUUCUUUCAUUUCUCUUCUUUUUUUUCCAUUCUUUCCUUGCCUCUUUUCUCUAAUUCCUGAGCCCUUACCCCUCAAAACCCUAACUCUAUCCCCUUUCUUACAAUUUCGACCCAAAAAUUAAUAAAAAAUCUCAUGGGGAGAAGCCGAUAGCCAUGAACAUUGCAGAUUCUAGGGACCAAGCCCUUUCUCUGCUCACUAUCGCACUAACCACUCUGUUUUGGCGAUGAAGCUUUCGUCUCUUAAAUAGGCCAAGGACAUUCUUUCCUCUCUCAAUUCUUCUUCCACCACCGAACUUUCCCCUACCUUUCCGACCUCCAACUUUCUCUUCAUAGCCUCGUUAGGGAAUUCCUAUUGAGUGAGUUUUAAACCCUAAUUCUUUCCAAUUUUAUAUGUUUAUGUUAUUUUAUAUGCUGCUAUUGUAAGCUUAACUGCUCCGCUUAUUAGUUUUGAUAUUUGUGUGAUUAAUGAGCUACAUUUCUUUGACAGAAACAUGAAACAUAAUGAUCUCAUGGUCUUAUUUUUUUGACAGAAACAUGAAGGUUGAGUACUUCUUAGUUCUUUCCUCUACUAAUUUGUUUUUUCAUUGGGUAUUAUGCCUUGUAUUUAAUAAGGAUAGAAAUAUGUUGAUCUCAUGAAUCUGUGUUUGUAUAAAGGUAUAGGUUUAUGUAUUCUGGCCUUAGUUUGCUUCCUAAUCUUUUUGAAUGAUGAGGUUAUACCAUGGGUGGUGCUGUUUUCAUCAACCCAAUGUAGUUUAAAUAAGCAUCCAUAAUACAACUAACAUUAUCAGAUUACCUGUAAGUUUUUACUUGUUUUUGUACAUAUGAUAUAACCUUCAUCAACAAAUAAACCAGCACUUGUCUUUUCUCUUCUUGUACUGUUUUUACUCAGAAUAUUUUCUUACCUGACUAAAAGAACUAGAAACUGAUUAGAAUUGUUAGAAAUGCAUGUAACCAGUCUUAAAAAGUUAAUAGAGUGCCACAAUGUAAAAUAUUAAUCAUGUUAUAAGCAUAAGCCUUAGAGCUCGCUUGAUCUUUCAAGUCAAUUGGAUGGUCAUAAGUUAAGACUGUAACUAUAGCCAUUGAUCAAAUUGAUUUGAUGCUAGUUUCAGCAGCUUGUUUUUUCAAUCAAUUCUGUAAGUAAUAAAAAAUGACACAUCAAAUUAUGCAUCUUGCUUUGGGUUGAGGAUGGCAAUGGAACUUACCAUUGACAUAGCAACUCUUACUACUGAAAUAUUAAAUUAGCUCACUUCCUUUAAUGAUAAUUUUGGUUUUUAUUCAUUUUCCCCUUUAUUUUUUUUAUCAAAUUUCGUUUUUCAUUUCAUGCUUUUAUCUAUUUUGUAAUUUCUUUUUUCAGUUGAAAGAUUGCAGGCGUCAACUCUUUGAUGGGAGAACUUCAAAAUAUAAGUUCAAAUCAGAUUGCUUUACUUGACCACUGUCAAGAACUUGUAUCAACAAUUGUAGCUAUGCAGGUAAAUAUCUUGUUUACAUCCAUCAUUAUUAUUAAGAUAAGCAUCUAAUGCUACUUGAAGUGCUUAAUUUCAAUUUAAAGCAUUCCGCCUCAUUGUUAUGUCUUUGUUGGCAUUACUCAUGUCUUAGUUGUUUUUGUUUAAUUAAAUAUACAGUAUGCGAUGUCAAAGAAGAUUAAAUUUAUGGUAAAUAUCUUGAUUUCUUUUACUCUCAGUAGUGGAAGCAAGAUCAAGCUUUUGUGAUUGCUGUGUGUUUGUGUUCAGUUAUAGUCUUUUGCACUAGAAUUUUCAACUACAAUCACAGUGACAAACUAGGCUUAAACAUUUAUUUUAUGUUGACCUAUUUUUACCUUUAUAAUUUGUUUAGCUUUGCUAUAUUCUCUAUGUACCUCAAUUAAACUGGCAUAGGAGAAGCCUACUCUGUUUUCAUUCUUGAGCGAAUUUGUUUGUUUGGAAUGCUUAUAUCUGGGUAUUUAAUUCUCAAAUGCUUGCUGGUAGAAUUUUCAGAAUCACGGUAAGGAGAACUACUUAAUGGAUGUUACUGUGCAAUUGGAUGUUUCUUUUCCUUGUUAUUUCUUGACCAAUCACUUUCUUCCUAUAUAUGUUAUUAAAUAUGUUUGAUUGCCUUUCUAACUAAGAGAGUCUUAUGAUUUCAGGAGAUUCAAAAGAUUGUAGUCUUCGAAUGUGAAUUUGAAAAAAAAAUAGUAUCAUGAAGGAUGAAGGAGGUUUUGAUGGGGGUUUGGUUGUGCAAGUGGGUCAUCAGAUUUAAUUUUGGACCUCAAUGAACUUGUUCUGGCUUGUUUGCUGUUAGAACAAUUAUUUUAUUUUCCUUUUUUUUUGUAAAUUCUUUUUACAAUGUCUGUGGCUUUUUUAGCCAAGUCAUGUGUUAGUGUAUUUUGAUUGUUGGAUCGAUUUUUGUAAUGAAUAUUCAAGCUUUAUUUUAAUUUUAAUUUUAUAUUUUUAGUUGUAUUUAAAGCACAAUUUCUAUCAUUAUUCAGUGUAAAUGUUAUGAAAAUAUAUCAAUAUUGAAAUAAUAAAAAAUAGAAAAAAUUACCUUAGACGUA